rnacentral:misc_RNA from 1 species
GAUGAAGAACGUAGUGAAAUGCGAUAAGUAAUGUGAAUUGCAGAAUUCAGUGAAUCAUCGAGUCUUUGAACGCACAUUGCGCCCGGGAGCAUUCUCCCGGGCAUGCCUGUUCGAGCGUCAUUUCAACCCUCGAUUUCCCUUUGGGGAAGUCGGCCGUUGGAGAUCGGCAGCACUGCCGGCUCCCAAAUACAGUGGCGACCCGCCGCGGGGACCCCUGCGUAGUAACUUACACUCGCACCGGAAACCAGACGUGUCACGCCGUAAAACCCCCAACUUUCUGAACGUUGACCUCGGAUCAGGUAGGAAUACCCGCUGAACUUAAGCAUAUCAAUAAGCGGAGGA